UACGUAGGGUGCUAGCGUUGCUCGGAAUUACUGGGCGUAAAGCGCACGUAGGCGGCUUUCUAAGUCGGGGGUGAAAUCCUGGAGCUCAACUCCAGAACUGCCUUCGAUACUGGAAAGCUCGAGUCCGGGAGAGGUGAGUGGAACUGCGAGUGUAGAGGUGAAAUUCGUAGAUAUUCGCAAGAACACCAGUGGCGAAGGCGGCUCACUGGCCCGGUACUGACGCUGAGGUGCGAAAGCGUGGGGAGCAAACAGG
rnacentral:rRNA from 1 species